rnacentral:rRNA from 1 species
AUGCGCCACAUGGGCAUUUCCAUGAUUUGGAGCUGCACCAUCCGUGUUCAGCUGCAAGGAAUCGUCACUGUUAGUUUCCGGAGUAUCAUUCAGAUCAAUGCCAUCCUCUUCUUCUUGGUGCGCAGCAUUUUGCAGAUCAUUAUCAAGGAAAAUCGAUGGCUCCACAGCAACAUUCUGCAACAAAAUGAGCGCCCAAGUCAUUUUUUGUUUUGCUGCGUGAAAAACCAUGCAAAAAGUGCGAACAAAAAAAGAGGACACACCAUGUCAAUCACAAUUCCAAAAACAAUUCCUACAUGCAACAUUUUAGGAUGUAGCAUGUAA